CAGUGGUUAUGUAUGGUUGGCUGGUGCGCCGUUCGUUCGUGUUGUAUGUGUGCUUAUACGUGAAUACGUUGAGUCUUCUACACUGCAGGUGUUGAGCUCGUCUUCAGUUGUCCUCUAGACAAGGUGCGGCCAGAAGACACUGCAUAGGACACCACAAUCGACAGUAUUCUGUAUUACUGUAGUUAUUCAGGACUCGUCACCGUGACGUCUUGACCACCUCUAUAUCACGCGUCGUUCCGGGUGAGCGGUUCAUGAUCUGCCAAAGAUAGUGAGUCUGGCAACGGGACGAAUUAAUGUAAG